UACGGAGGGAGCUAGCGUUAUUCGGAAUUACUGGGCGUAAAGCGCACGUAGGCGGCUUUGUAAGUUAGGGGUGAAAGCCUGGAGCUCAACUCCAGAAUUGCCUUUAAGACUGCAUCGCUUGAAUCCAGGAGAGGUGAGUGGAAUUCCGAGUGUAGAGGUGAAAUUCGUAGAUAUUCGGAAGAACACCAGUGGCGAAGGCGGCUCACUGGACUGGUAUUGACGCUGAGGUGCGAAAGCGUGGGGAGCAAACAGG
rnacentral:rRNA from 1 species